rnacentral:lncRNA from 1 species
AGUAACACUCUGGGAGGGCUCAGGCCACAUCACGAAAUGUGACAGGAUAGCCUUGAACUCAUCAAUUGCUGGGCAGAAAACUAGCACCCAAAACCAGUUGGAAUAAAAUUACCCACCUACAGUGGAGCCAAGGCCCCCAGAUCCUUUUUGUCAGCAAGGUAAGCUGUCAUCAGUUGGAGGUAAGCAGAAGACAGUAGAGAGUACAGAGCCCUGGACUGUGACUCAGAGGAUGAGCACCAGAUCCAGUUUGCUGUGCCACAGUGCCUUCUCCAAAGUCACUCACAGAAGGCAUCCCACUCAACCUCACCUUGGGGUAAAUCAAAAUAGUCCUCCUUCUGAAGCUACCGGGUAAAACGGUGGUAGCUGUGCAGCUGCUGCUGAUCAACAGGCUCCAGAAACAGCAGCAGGAGGUGAGCAGUCCCUGCGUUGGCCACCAAGUGGUAGGUGGCCAGCCCUACCUCCAAGUUGCACUGUUUACUUAUUCAUCUUUCAUGGUAAAGCCUCCAGUUGCCUAUUAUGAAAUCAGCAAUAAUCAUGUGUCCCCUGUCUGGGUCCCUGAAAAGAUGGAAAGAGGCAGAUCAGGCUGGUGCUCUGAGAAUGACAGACAUCAAACAAGAAUGAAAAGUGUCACCCUCCUUGGACUUAUUCAGUAACUCAUGCCCUUGAGCAAAGGAGGAUUUUCUAUCAAAGGACAUGGAUUUCUGUGUCUUUCUCUUGAGAUAACAUUGCUGGGUGACCACAGAAAGCUGGCUCUGGAAGCACAGAAGCUGCCUUUCCUUGAGUAAUAAUGUCUCUUCAAAGGGAGCUGGAGCAUGAGUAGUGUACAUGCCUCAGAUUUCAGUGAAAAGUUCAGAGGAGGCCUGAGAAGAAGGUCCUGGGAAUGAAUCAUCUAGAUGACUCAACCUUGCAAAGCCAUCCACCUCAUUGUGGAUAUCAUUCAAUACAUUUGGUGCUCCAUCAUCCUA